rnacentral:rRNA from 1 species
UACGUAGGGGGCAAGCGUUGUCCGGAAUUAUUGGGCGUAAAGAGCGUGUAGGCGGUCCGGUAAGUCGGCUGUGAAAGUCCAGGGCUCAACUGGGGAGGGUCAUUCGAUACUGAUCGACUUGAAGGCAGGAGAGGGAAGUGGAAUUCCGGGUGUAGUGGUGAAAUGCGUAGAUAUCGGGAGGAACACCAGUGGCGAAGGCGACUUCCUGGCCUGUUCUUGACGCUGAGGCGCGAAAGCUAGGGGAGCAAACGGG